GAUGAAGAACGCAGCGAAAUGCGAUACGUAAUGUGAAUUGCAGAAUUCAGUGAAUCAUCGAAUCUUUGAACGCAUAUUGCGCUCUCUGGUAUUCCGGAGAGCAUGCUUGUUUGAGUAUCAGUAAACACCUCAACUUCCAUAUCUUUUUUUGAAAUGGGAGUUGGACUUGAGUGAUCCCAACGCUUUUCCUCACCGAAAAGUGGCGGGUUACUUGAAAUGCAGGUGCAGCUGGACUUUUCUCUGAGCUAUAAGCAUAUCUAUUUAGUCUGCCUAAAAAACAGAUUAUUACCUUUGCUGCAGCUAACAUAAAGGAGAUUAGUUCUUGUGCUGACUGAUGCAGGAUUCACAAAGACAGCUUCGGCCGACUUUGUAAACUCGAUCUCAAAUCAAGUAAGACUACCCGCUGAACUUAAGCAUAUCAAUAGCGGAGGA
rnacentral:misc_RNA from 1 species